rnacentral:rRNA from 1 species
UACGUAGGGUGCAAGCGUUAAUCGGAAUUACUGGGCGUAAAGCGUGCGCAGGCGGUUUUGUAAGUCUGUCGUGAAAUCCCCGGGCUCAACCUGGGAAUUGCGAUGGAGACUGCAAGGCUAGAAUCUGGCAGAGGGGGGUAGAAUUCCACGUGUAGCAGUGAAAUGCGCAGAUAUCAGGAGGAACACCGAUGGCGAAGGCAGCCUACUGGAGGUUCACCGAC